rnacentral:rRNA from 1 species
GCUGGCGGUGCGCCUUAUGCAUGCAGUCGAGCGAAGCUUUUCAGUAGUUUACUACAGAAAAUGACUGAGCGGCGAACGGGUGAGUAACGCGUGAGCAAUCUACCUUAGUUACAGGGAUAGCCCGAGGAAACUCGGAUUAAUACCUGAUAUUCUUUAUUUCUCGCAUGAGAAUAAAAGGAAAGGUCAGCCGGACUAAGAUGAGCUCGCGUUCUAUCAGCUAGUUGGUGAGGUAAAAGCUUACCAAGGCUACGACGGAUAGCUGGUCUGAGAGGACGAUCAGCCACACUGGGACUGAGACACGGCCCAGACUCCUACGGGAGGCUGCAGCAGGGAAUAUUGUGCAAUGAACGAAAGUUUGACACAGCGACACCGCGUGUGGGAUGACGGAUCUAGGUUUGUAAACCACUUUCAGGAGGGAAGAAAAUGACGGUACCUCCACAAGAAGCCCCGGCCAACUACGUGCCAGCAGCCGCGGUAAUACGUAGGGGGCGAGCGUUGUCCGGAUUUAUUGGGCGUAAAGAGCUCGUAGGCGGUUCAACAAGUCGGUCGUGAAAGUUCAGGGCUCAACCCUGAAAUGUCGAUCGAUACUGUUGUGACUAGGAUACG